AAAGGUGAGGAGACUGGACUCACCACUUCACAAUGAGAAAUGGUUGUCUCUCCAACUAAAGCUAGAACUAGCAUAUGACACAAACCUGUACAAGGCUUCUCACCUGGUCAACAAUACGAAGGAAGAGAUACCGUUUUAUUCCAUGCCGGAGUACCAUUCUUGGAAGGAAAGUUUGGAUGGUGUGUGCCUAUGAAAGCAUGCAAGCUGGUUGUACCAGAUUAAACAUUUAGGAAUCAUACAACUAACAACUCUAACCAGUCCAAUGAGUCUACUCUUGUUACUGCAUCACACAUUGAAUUGGAGCUGUAGAUAACUCCAUUGAAUCUAAGUGGCAAUUUUGUUGCAUGCACA